CACCUCUCAGAGUCACACCUGGAGAGUUUCCAGUACUCUACCAGUCUUGACUAUGGGAGGGAGAGUCAAGCAGAGGCAUAUCCGUUCCAUUCCUAGCUUGGGCAGUGGCUAGCAAAUGGAAGGCCAUCUACUUGCUACAAAU